UUGAGCGCUGGCGGCCGGCCUAACACAUGCAAGUCGAACGGUAACAGGAAGAAGCUUGCUUCUUUGCUGACGAGUGGCGGACGGGUGAGUAAUGUCUGGGAAACUGCCUGAUGGAGGGGGAUAACUACUGGAAACGGUAGCUAAUACCGCAUAACGUCGCAAGACCAAAGAGGGGGACCUUCGGGCCUCUUGCCAUCGGAUGUGCCCAGAUGGGAUUAGCUAGUAGGUGGGGUAACGGCUCACCUAGGCGACGAUCCCUAGCUGGUCUGAGAGGAUGACCAGCCACACUGGAACUGAGACACGGUCCAGACUCCUACGGGAGGCAGCAGUGGGGAAUAUUGCACAAUGGGCGCAAGCCUGAUGCAGCCAUGCCGCGUGUAUGAAGAAGGCCUUCGGGUUGUAAAGUACUUUCAGCGGGGAGGAAGAGAGUAAAGUUAAUACCUUUACUCAUUGACGUUACCCGCAGAAGAAGCACCGGCUAACUCCGUG
rnacentral:rRNA from 1 species